rnacentral:rRNA from 1 species
AUUGAACGCUGGCGGCAUGCUUUACACAUGCAAGUCGAACGGUAACAGGCCGCAAGGUGCUGACGAGUGGCGAACGGGUGAGUAAUGCAUCGGAACGUGCCCAGUCGUGGGGGAUAACGCAGCGAAAGCUGCGCUAAUACCGCAUACGAUCUAUGGAUGAAAGCGGGGGACCGUAAGGCCUCGCGCGAUUGGAGCGGCCGAUGUCAGGUUAGGUAGUUGGUGGGGUAAAGGCUCACCAAGCCGACGAUCUGUAGCUGGUCUGAGAGGACGACCAGCCACACUGGGACUGAGACACGGCCCAGACUCCGACGGGAGGCAGCAGUGGGGAAUUUUGAACAAUGGGCGCAAGCCUGAUCCAGCAAUGCCGCGUGCAGGAAGAAGGCCUUCGGGUUGUAAACUGCUUUUGUACGGAACGAAACGGCUCUGGUUAGUACCUGGGGCUAAUGACGGUACCGUAAGAAUAAGCACCGGCUAACUACGUGCCAGCAGCCGCCGCAGUAA